rfam:Triticum aestivum genome assembly, contig: Triticum_aestivum_CS42_TGACv1_scaffold_221149_3B
CUUAUACUCCCCCCGUCCCAAAAUUCUUCUCUGUCUAGAUACGGAAGUAUCUAACACUAAAAUGUGACUAGAUACAUUCGUAUCUAGACAAAUCUAAGACAAGAAUUUUGGGACGGAGGUAAUAGUAG